CCGACGCUCGCCUUCUUCCCGGGUGCUAAGUGGUAUCGCGAGAUUUCGGCCUGGCUAUGACGCAGGCCGCGGGACUUGCCGCCCCUUUUCCUCUGCGCGGUUGGAAGAAGCCGGCUGGUCUUCGGGAGGCGGAGGGCUGAGGUCGGGAGCUUGGAAACUUUAAAACCAAGAGCAACUGAUGGAUAAAUCAGGAAUAGAUUCCUUUGAUCAUGUGACAUCUGAUGCUAUGGAACUUGCAAAUCAAAGUGAUAACUCUUCUGAUAGCAGCUUAUUUAAAACUCAGUGUGUCCCUUACUCACCUAAACGAGGGCAAAGAAACCCCAUUAGAAAAUGUGUUCGUACACCUGGAAAUGUUCAAGCAAGUGAUUCAUCAAGUGACUCAUCUUUUGAACCAAUACCAUUGACCAUGAAAGCUAUUUUUGAAAGAUUCAAGAACAGGAAAAAGAAGUACAAAAAAAAGAAAAAGAGGUACCAGCCAACAGGAAGACCAAGGGGAAGACCAGAAGGAAGGAGAAAUCCUUUAUGCUCACUGAUAGAUAAGAAGAAACAGUUUAGAAGCAGAGGACCCGGCUUCCCAUUUUUAGAAUCAGAGAAUGAAAAAAAGCCCCCUUGGAAAAAAAUUUUAACGUUUGAGCAAGCUGUUGCAAGAGGAUUUUUUAACUACAUCGAAAAACUGAAGUAUGAACACCAUCUGAAAGAAUCCUUGAAACAAAUGAAUGUUGGUGAAGAUUUAGAAAAUGAAGAUUUUGAUAGUCGUAGAUACAAAUAUUUGGAUGAUGAGGGAUCCAUUUCUCCUAUUGAGGAGUCAACAGCAGAGGAUGAGGAUGCAACACACCUUGAAGAUGACGAAUGUGAUAUCAAAUUGGCAGGGGAUAGUUUCAUAGUAAGUUCUGAAUUCCCUGUAAGACUGAGUGUAUACUUAGAAGAAGAAGAUACUACUGAAGAAGCUGCUUUGUCUAAGAAGAGAGCUACAAAAGCCAAAAAUACUGGACAGAGAGGCCUGAAAAUGUGACAGAAUCAUGAAUGUCAAAGGCUUUUAUCUUGAGAACCUGAUGUCUGGAGUUAAAGGUAUUGGCAUAUGUCCACACCUGUACUAUUCUUGAGUGUGACUGCUUAGGAAUGAAUAUGAUUUGAACUCAUUCAUGUUGAAAGGGUGUCAAAUUGAGAACCAGGCAGAUCCACCACUUACAGUAAAAAGUUCAACUUCUAGGACCCUAAAGUAAAUUGGUUGAAGAAAUUAGAUCCCAAAGAUUCUUGGUGAAUUCUGAAGUCUUCAUCAGUGUAUCUGUAUUAAAAGGAGAUGACAGAAGCCAAAAUAAAUUAAUGGCAAGUAAUAGUUUUUAUCCUGACUAUAAGCUGUUUGCUCAAGGGCAUAAUGGUCAUUACCAAGGCUUUUGGAAUGCUGUUUCUCAUUUGCUGUGGACAUGACCAUAAAAAAAAUUUCCCAGUAGGUUUUCCAUCUGCUACCUUGGUAGCAAUCAGCCUAUUGGGAACAUGUGAUUAAUUGUAAUAGAAAUGCAAUACAAAUAUAAUGCGAGCCACAUGUGGUUUUUUCCCUAAUAUCAACGAGAUUUUAAAAUUCUUUAGGCAGUGCAGCCUAGAUCUCUUGAAUCAUGCAAAUGUGCUUUGCCUCUGUAUUGUAACCCUUGUGGAUUGCUAAUACCUAAGCAGUUUGUAUGUAGCAGAGUUAGCUUAGGCUGAUUCUAAGACUCAUCAUGUUCACUCACUGUACAAUCAUCUCUGGAAAUGUAAAAUUUACUUUUAUUACUAUCUAGGGCUGAUAGGACAGCUGGAUUAAAGUAAGCAUCAGCUUCAUUAAAAAGGUAUGUAUGCAUUAGGAAAGACAUUUGUAUAGGUCAUUUCAAAGAGGGCUCAUGAGGCUGUGAAACCCAGAGCUCUUCACGCUGUGACCAAAGAUGGAAGUUCUCUAUAGGAUGCCAUAGCACUCUUAUGUUUGGUGCUAUGUUUUCCCCAGGAGAUAUAAAACUUAAUAAUCCAUGAUUGUUGCCAUGUAAGAGUUUUAAUCAAAAUUUUUCUUUUUCAGGGCUAACUUGCAGCUCUUUAGAG